rnacentral:lncRNA from 1 species
UGUUGUCUCUGUGUCUGUUGGUCCUUAGGACUGUCCUGUGCUGUGCUGUGUAAGAUUGAGCUGCAGUUAUAUGUCGGGGGUUGGUGUUACUGUAACCGUGCAAGGGGGUUGGAGAAGGCAGUGCCUGUUAAAGUUGCGACACCUAGGAACAAAAUGUACCCCUCGUCUUUCGGUCAAUUGGAUUGGUGGAUCGCCUGAUACCUUUGACAUGGGUUCCUGUUUGGCACAAGUGCUGUUUCCCUGGUGUCACUGCAGCUCUUUUGUUCUCAAGCAUUUCAUUUUGAUGUGUACCCCUUUCUUGUUUUCUUGCAUGCAUGAAUCGUCUGUGCUUCUUGGUACUAACAGUGCAAGGAAACUUGGUACUAUAUUUUUUCCGCUUGUGUAAAUACAUACAUUCAAUGCACUACCGCACAAGGUUAUAAUAUAAUAUAAUAAGUAAUAUAAGGAGCCGUCUAUUUAUCGGGUACUCCCUCCGUAAAAGAAUAUAAACGCGUUUAGAUUACUACUUUAACAUGUUUCAUCAAAGGUCAUUAGAUCUUCAUCCUACGGCUGAAAAUAGACCGGGCACUAUACAACUUCAAACUUCAACUUCUUUGUCCUCAUCCAGCCGAUGCCAACCCAGACCUAACCGCACGCCUCUGCCUCGCCGCCCAAACCUCCCCCCAUUGCCAUGCUGGGAAAUUUCACCAGAAACUUCGGCAGCAUAACGUGUGGAGAAGAAUCACAACAUGCACAACGCCAGCAUAAUGUUAAUCAAAUGGUUGAUUAACAUUUUUGUAUACAUGAUCAAUACAAUUCAUCAUUUCUUAAUACAUGGUCAAUAUUUUUAUAUACACAUUUAACAUUUUUAAAUGAUUGAUUAACAUUUUUCAAAUACUUGUUCAACAACUUUUUCAAAUUCUUGAUCAAUAUUUUUAUAUACAUAAUCAAUAUUUUUUGAAAUACUUGUUCAACAUUUUUCAAAUAGUGGUUCAACAUUUUCUAUUUGGAUUGCUUCAUUAACAUUUUUAUAUACAUGGUCAAUAUUUUUUUAAAUAUUUGUUCAACGUUUUGAAAUAAUUUUUCAAUAUUUUGCAAAUACAAAGUAUAAUAAUAAAAUACAAAAAUUAAUCAAAAAAUAAAUCAGAAAACAUUAAAAAACGAGGAAAACGAGGCUCUGGCCUCUCGCGCGCCUGGGCCGGCCCAACGCGCCCUCCCCUUCAGCGAGCAUUCCCUCGCUCUCGCAGAAAGCGAGAAAUAGGGGCGCCUGAGCAAACACACAGGUUAGCGCUCCCUCAGGCGCGUAGUGGGUUGGCCCAUUUUGGUUGUCUAAUUCAUUUUUUUCUCAAAAAAAUGCGUGCUAUUUUAACAGAGGCUUGGAGCUAUUGUUUUCAAAGACAAUCUAAAAUAAUUUGUGCAUAAAUUCUAAAAAAGGUUCACAAUUUCAGAAAAUGAUUUGCAUUUUUUUAAAAUGUUCCUAAUUUUAAAACGUUCGAAACUUUAGAAAAUGUUUGUGACUUUGUAAAAGGUUUCAAACGUCAAAAAUUGUUCAUUAACGAAAAAUAAUCCCAAAUCUUAAGAAAUUCCACGGAAUAAAAACAGUUCUAUGGAUUUAAUUAUUUUUCCCAAAAAUUCUAUAAAUUUUAGAACUUCACAAAAGUGAUAUUCUUUUUAAAACCCAAAGGCUCUGAAUUUGAAAAUCAAAAAUGCAAAACCACCAAAAAAAAC